GGCGGCAUAGCCAAGUGGUAAGGCAGUGGAUUGCAAAUCCAUCACCACCCGUUCGAAUCGGGUUGCCGCCUCCA
rnacentral:tRNA from 1 species